rnacentral:rRNA from 1 species
UACGAAGGGGGCAAGCGUUGUCCGGAAUUACUGGGCGUAAAGAGCUCGUAGGUGGUUUGUCGCGUUGUUCGUGAAAACUCACAGCUUAACUGUGGGCGUGCGGGCGAUACGGGCAGACUGGAGUACUGCAGGGGAGACUGGAAUUCCUGGUGUAGCGGUGGAAUGCGCAGAUAUCAGGAGGAACACCGGUGGCGAAGGCGGGUCUCUGGGCAGUAACUGACGCUGAGGAGCGAAAGCGUGGGGAGCGAACAGG